rnacentral:lncRNA from 1 species
AAAGGAAAAAAAAUAUAGAAAGGAAACAGAAUGAAACGAAACAGAGAGCAAGGAAGGAAAGAAAAAAAAGAAAGGGAGAAAAGGGAAAUUUUAGAUUUCAAGGUUUGAAAGUUUAAUUGGUAAGUCAAUUUAGCCCUUUUUACUUAAUUUUGAUGUUUUUGAAGCUUUGGAACAAGAUUUUGAUGAAAUUAAGUUGAUAUUUUGAAAGUUAUUAGAUUUCUAGAUAAUGUUCAUGUUGAGUAAAAUGAUGAAUUAAGGGCUAAAUUGGUAGAAAUUCAAGUUAGAAAUGAAAUAAGGAUUGAAUUGUAAAGUGAUUCAUAAGUUUUAUGCUUUAAGGACUAAAUUGAAAGAAUUUUUGAAAUUAUGGUUUUAUGAUGAAAAAUAGAUAAUUAUGUCUAAGUUUGGUUAAAAAUUGAUUAGAAAUAAAGUAUGAAUUAAGAUAGAAAAGUAAGUGAAUUUAGUUAGGAUUAAAUUGAAAUUAGAAGUAGAAAAUCAACAUUUUGCACUAAGACUAUUUUGGACAGCAGCAGUAGUCUAAGUUUAAAAAAUCACCAAAAAUUGUAGAAAUUGAAUUAGAGGAUGAAUAAAAUAUAGAAUUAAAUAUUAUUGAGUCUAGUUUCUUAUAGAAGAAACGGUAUAAGAAAUUGAAUUGUAAAUUAUGAGAUAUAAUGAAUUUUGUGAGACAAGGUCAGAAUGAAUUUGGUUUCCUCUGUUCUGACUUUGUAAAAUCACCAAAAAUUGGAGAAAAAUAAUUAGAGGCUUAAAGUUAUGUGUUUAGAAUCCCUAAUGAGUCUAUUUUCAGGAGAAAUUAACGGGAAUAUUAUCCGAGUUCUGUACUGUGAGAUAAUUAAUUUUUAGUGAAGAAGGGUCGAAACUGUCAGACAGCAGAAUAGGGGUGAAUUUAAAGAAUAAACUGUACUUAAUGGCUAAACCAAAAAUUCUGAAAAUUUUAUGGUAAGAAGAUUUGUGAGUCUAGUUUCAGGAAAUAUUAGCGGAUCUUAAUUUAGAAUUCUGUAACUCAAGAUAUAAAUUAGUAAUGUAUUAAUGAUUAUGAAUUGUAUUAAUUUCGUAGUCACGGAAAUCUCGGCUAAGAAAGGACAAGACAAAGUCAACGGGAGUUAGCUCGAAAAUUACGGUUUGUAUUUCUAUAACCCCGAACUUAAUAUUUAAUUAUUGAAUUUAUUAUUUAUUAUGUAUGGUAGGUGCAUUGAUUAAAUUAUUUGAAAUAAAAUGAAUAUUGAUUGAAAUUGAAGGGUGAAUUUAAUUAAUAAUUGUUGUAUUUUAAUUGAAUGCUAUGGUAAAUAAUUAAAGUAUGAAUUAUUGGUAUUGUGUUUUUUUUGAAAUGAUUUGAUUUGAAAAUGUGGUGAAAUAAUUAUGAACAUGUGUUUAUUUUGAAAUUGAAUAUUUAUUAGUGAAAAGUGAAUGGAAUUAUAUUGAAUUGAAAAAAUAUAUAAUUAAUUAAUUAAAAUAUGAAUUAAUUGAAAACUGAAAAGUGAAUUAAAUACCCUAUUAACUAGUCGGGCUAGUCGGAUAUAGUUGGCAUGCCAUAGGAUAUGAAAGAGUACGGGUUUUUGCCGACUUACUGAUCAGGCACUUAUGUGCCGACUACUGUUACUGUUACCGUUACUGUUACCGAUUCGGCACUUUGUGUGUUGGAUAUUGUUACUGUUACCGUUACUGUUACUGUUUUGGAUUUGUUCCGAUGAGUUACUCUGUGUACUGUACUGUUACUGUUCCGGAUUUGUUCCGAUGAGGUACUCUGUGUACCGUAUUGCUACUAUUACUGUUACUGUUUCGGCUUUGGCUGAUGAGGCACUAUGUGCCGUACUGGUGUGUUGGUUGGAUCUGUGUAUCCGUCUGAGUCCGAGUCAUGUUAAUAGGGGUAAAUAAAGGAACUGGAAAGAUCGACUGUUACUGAAUAAUUUAAUUGUUACUGAAUAACUGAUUAUUCCUGAAUAAUUGAUUGUUACCGAAUAACUGACUGUUAUUGAAUAAAUAAUCGUUCUGAUUGACUGGUUGUUAAUGAAUAUUACUGAUUGAUUAAUUGCUAUUGAAAAAUAAUAAAUGAUUUUGAAUUUAAAGUAGACCAAGACAUUGGUUGGAAAGUGAAUGUUUGAAUACUCAUUGAGUUUGAAUAGUUCAAUAUAUAAAAAUUAAUAUGUUUUAUAAUUGUUUAAGUGUUCGGAUUAUAGAAAUACCACUGAGUGUAUACUCAGCGUACGGUUUGUUUCCGUGUGCAGGUUAAGGUUAGACCGCUGAAUCAGCAUCCCAAGCCAAUCCCAAAUUCAAUGAGGUAAAGUAUGUUGAGUAUUGGUAAUGGCAUGUACCUAGGAUAUCUUAUGAGAGUCAUUUAGGUUGUGAAAGUAUUGAUAAAAUAAGUAAAUUAUGGUUGGCAAUUGUAUAUAGUAUGAAUUUGAAAUUUGAAAGAAAAAUUCAUUGUAAUUCAAAAUUAGUUUUGAAUUGAUUUUACUGUUCAUAUUAGACCGUGAGGGC